rfam:Virgibacillus massiliensis genome assembly, contig: 000001
GUUACCUUUAAUUCAGUCCCGUGAGACUGCCAAGGUGAACAGAUAAGAAUCUGUUUGUAAAGUAAGUCUAUCUUUGCUAUCUUACUUUUACGAAAGCACCCUGCCUCGCGUCCGCAGGGUGCUUUUUAUU